rnacentral:tRNA from 1 species
GAUAAGACCUGUGAUAUUCUAAAACACAUCUUCUGAAUGCAACCCAGACAC